rnacentral:rRNA from 1 species
UACGAAGGGGGCUAGCGUUGCUCGGAAUUACUGGGCGUAAAGGGAGCGUAGGCGGAUAGUUUAGUCAGAGGUGAAAGCCCAGGGCUCAACCUUGGAAUUGCCUUUGAUACUGGCUAUCUUGAGUACGGAAGAGGUAUGUGGAACUCCGAGUGUAGAGGUGAAAUUCGUAGAUAUUCGGAAGAACACCAGUGGCGAAGGCGACAUACUGGUCCGUUACUGACGCUGAGGCUCGAAAGCGUGGGGAUCAAACAGG